AUGGCCAAGACUUGCUUCAAGACCGAGCACCCCCUGGAAAGGAGGCAAGCUGAAUCUGCUAGGAUCCGUGAGAAGUACGCUGACAGAAUUCCGGUGAUCGUUGAGAAGGCUGAUAAGUCUGAUCUCCCGAAAAUUGAUAAGAGGUACCUUGUCCCUAACGAGAUGCUAAACCCGCCAGUCCGCGACCCAUCUCGCCUCAACGAGCGUAGUUCUACUAUGGCUGGCGCACCGUUCUGCUGUUGCGGCCUCAAGCCGGCGCCCCCGAGCUUCCUCCUCUGCCAUGGCUCUUCGCGGCUGCCACACAAACACGGCAUGUCACCGCGGCCUACUUCAACUCGCCCGCUUUCUCCCGUGCGCCCGUGUCACUGCCUCUGCUAUCCCAUGGCUGCGCACUGCCCCGAGCCUCGCCAUGGCCGUGCGUCUCCUCCACUGGCAGGCCCGCCACCAAGCACCUCCUCUGCAUGGCUCGUGCGCCUCUGUCUCGGCCACCGGCCGCAGCCGUGCCUCGCCUACCGCGCUUCUCCGCGGCAUCGGCUCCCCGGUCGUCCAGCGCCCGCCUGUCGGCGGCUGACCCCUCUGGUGCUACUCUAG
rnacentral:rRNA from 1 species